rnacentral:rRNA from 1 species
AUGCAGCGGCACCUAAUGGUGACAGUUGUUAAAGCGGGGGAUCGCAAGACCUCGCGUCUGAAGAGGAGCCUGCGGCAGAUUAGCUAGUUGGUAAGGUAACGGCUUACCAAGGCGAUGAUCUGUAGCCGGCCUGAGAGGGCGGUCGGCCACACUGACACUGACAUACGGGUCAGACUCCUACGGGAGGCAGCAGUCGGGAAUCUUGGGCAAUGGGCGAAAGCCUGACCCAGCAACGCCGCGUGAAGGAUGAAAUCCUUCGGGAUGUAAACUUCGCAAGAACAGGAAGAAUAAGUAAGAGUUAACAUCUCUUACGAUGACGGUACUGUUUGUAAGCUCCGGCUAACUCCGUGCCAGCAGCCGCGGUAAUACGGGGGGAGCAAGCGUUGUUCGGAUUUACUGGGCGUAAAGGGCGCGUAGGCGGCCACCGCAAGUCGACUGUGAAAUCUCUGGGCUUAACCCAGAACGGUCAGCCGAUACUGCGGGGCUAGAGUGCAGAAGGGGCAACUGGAAUUCUCGGUGUAGCGGUGAAAUGCGUAGAUAUCGAGAGGAACACCUGCGGCGAAGGCGGGUUGCUGGGCUGACACUGACGCUGAGGCGCG